GCGCAUGUGGCGUAAUGGUAGCCGCGUUAGACUUAGGAUCUAAUGUCUCAGGACGUGGGGGUUCGAGUCCCUUCAUGCGCA
rnacentral:tRNA from 3 species